GACGAACGCUGGCGGCGUGCCUAAUACAUGCAAGUUGAGCGAUGAAGAUUGGUGCUUGCACCAAUUUGAAGAGCAGCGAACGGGUGAGUAACGCGUGGGGAAUCUGCCUUUGAGCGGGGGACAACAUUUGGAAACGAAUGCUAAUACCGCAUAAUAACUUUAAACAUAAGUUUUAAGUUUGAAAGAUGCAAUUGCAUCACUCAAGGAUGAUCCCGCGUUGUAUUAGCUAGUUGGUGAGGUAAAGGCUCACCAAGGCGAUGAUACAUAGCCGACCUGAGAGGGUGAUCGGCCACAUUGGGACUGAGACACGGCCCAAACUCCUACGGGAGGCAGCAGUAGGGAAUCUUCGGCAAUAGACGAAAGUCUGACCGAGCAACGCCGCGUGAGUGAAGAAGGUUUUCGGAUCGUAAAACUCUGUUGGUAGAGAAGAACGUUGGUGAGAGUGGAAAGCUCAUCAAGUGACGGUAACUACCCAGAAAGGGACGGCUAACUACGUG
rnacentral:rRNA from 1 species